AGUGGGGGACAACAUCUCGAAAGGGAUGCUAAUACCGCAUACGUCCUACGGGAGAAAGCAGGGGAUCUUCGGACCUUGCGCUAAUAGAUGAGCCUAAGUCGGAUUAGCUAGUUGGUGGGGUAAAGGCCUACCAAGGCGACGAUCUGUAGCGGGUCUGAGAGGAUGAUCCGCCACACUGGGACUGAGACACGGCCCAGACUCCUACGGGAGGCAGCAGUGGGGAAUAUUGGACAAUGGGGGGAACCCUGAUCCAGCCAUGCCGCGUGUGUGAAGAAGGCCUUAUGGUUGUAAAGCACUUUAAGCGAGGAGGAGGCUACUCUAGUUAAUACCUAGGGAUAGUGGACGUUACUCGCAGAAUAAGCACCGGCUAACUCUGUGCCAGCAGCCGCGGUAAUACAGAGGGUGCGAGCGUUAAUCGGAUUUACUGGGCGUAAAGCGUGCGUAGGCGGCUUAUUAAGUCGGAUGUGAAAUCCCCGAGCUUAACUUGGGAAUUGCAUUCGAUACUGGUGAGCUAGAGUAUGGGAGAGGAUGGUAGAAUUCCAGGUGUAGCGGUGAAAUGCGUAGAGAUCUGGAGGAAUACCGAUGGCGAAGGCAGCCAUCUGGCCUAAUACUGACGCUGAGGUACGAAAGCAUGGGGAGCAAACAGGAUUAGAUACCCUGGUAGUCCAUGCCGUAAACGAUGUCUACUAGCCGUUGGGGC
rnacentral:rRNA from 1 species